rnacentral:rRNA from 1 species
CUACGGGAGGCAGCAGUCGAGAAUCAUUCACAAUGGGGGAAACCCUGAUGGUGCGACGCCGCGUGGGGGAAUGAAGGUCUUCGGAUUGUAAACCCCUGUCAUGUGGGAGCAAAUUAAAAAGAUAGUACCACAAGAGGAAGAGACGGCUAACUCUGUGCCAGCAGCCGCGGUAAUACAGAGGUCUCAAGCGUUGUUCGGAAUCACUGGGCGUAAAGCGUGCGUAGGCUGUUUCGUAAGUCGUGUGUGAAAGUCGCGGGCUCAACCCGCGGACGGCACAUGAUACUGCGAGACUAGAGUAAUGGAGG